AUUCUAAUAGCUUAUAUUUAGAGCAUAAUAUUGAAGAUAUUAUUGAGAUAUUUAUCUUAGAAUA
rnacentral:tRNA from 1 species